rnacentral:rRNA from 1 species
GACGAACGCUGGCGGCGUGCUUAACACAUGCAAGUCGAACGGAAAGGCCCCCUUUUGGGGUACUCGAGUGGCGAACGGGUGGGUAACACGUGAGUAACCUACCCUUUACUUUGGGAUAACUUCAGGAAACUGGGGCUAAUACCGGAUAGGAGCUCCUGCUGCAUGGUGGGGGUUGUAAGGUUUCGGCGGUUGGGGUUGGACUCGCGGCUUAUCAGCUUGUUGGUGGGGUAGUGGCUCACCAAGCCUUUGACGGGUAGCCGGCCUGAGAGGGUGACCGGCCACAUGGGGACUGAGAUACGGCCCAGACUCCAACGGGAGGCAGCAGGGGGGAAUAUUGCACAAGGGGCGGAAGCCUGAUGCAGCAACGCCGCGUGCGGGAUGACGGCCUUCGGGUUGUAAACCGCUUUCGCCUGUGACGAAGCGUGAGUGACGGUAAUGGGUAAAGAAGCACCGGCUAACUACGUG